rnacentral:rRNA from 1 species
UACGUAGGGCGCAAGCGUUGUCCGGAAUUAUUGGGCGUAAAGAGCUCGUAGGCGGCUUGUCACGUCGGAUGUGAAAGCCCGGGGCUUAACUCCGGGUCUGCAUUCGAUACGGGCUAGCUAGAGUGUGGUAGGGGAGAUCGGAAUUCCUGGUGUAGCGGUGAAAUGCGCAGAUAUCAGGAGGAACACCGGUGGCGGAGGCGGAUCUCUGGGCCAUUACUGACGCUGAGGAGCGAAAGCGUGGGGAGCGAACAGG